AGUCGAGGGGUAGCAGGAUCUAGCAAUAGAUUGCUGACGACCGGCGCACGGGUGAGUAACACGUAUCCAACCUGCCGAUAACUCGGGGAUAGCCUUUCGAAAGAAAGAUUAAUACCCGAUGGUAUAAUAAAACCGCAUGGUUUUGUUAUUAAAGAAUUUCGGUUAUCGAUGGGGAUGCGUUCCAUUAGGCAGUUGGUGAGGUAACGGCUCACCAAACCUUCGAUGGAUAGGGGUUCUGAGAGGAAGGUCCCCCACAUUGGAACUGAGACACGGUCCAAACUCCUACGGGAGGCAGCAGUGAGGAAUAUUGGUCAAUGGGCGUAGGCCUGAACCAGCCAAGUAGCGUGAAGGAUGACUGCCCUAUGGGUUGUAAACUUCUUUUAUAUGGGAAUAAAGUUUUCCACGUGUGGAAUUUUGUAUGUACCAUAUGAAUAAGGAUCGGCUAACUCCGUGCCAGCAGCCGCGGUAAUACGGAGGAUCCGAGCGUUAUCCGGAUUUAUUGGGUUUAAAGGGAGCGUAGGUGGACAGUUAAGUCAGUUGUGAAAGUUUGCGGCUCAACCGUAAAAUUGCAGUUGAUACUGGCUGUCUUGAGUACAGUAGAGGUGGGCGGAAUUCGUGGUGUAGCGGUGAAAUGCUUAGAUAUCACGAAGAACUCCGAUUGCGAAGGCAGCUCACUGGACUGCAACUGACACUGAUGCUCGAAAGUGUGGGUAUCAAACAGGAUUAGAUACCCUGGUAGUC
rnacentral:rRNA from 1 species